rnacentral:rRNA from 1 species
CGGCGUAAGAACUUGCCUCACAGCUAGGGACAACAUUUAGAAAUGAAUGCUAAUACCUGAUAUUAUGAUUUUAAGGCAUCUUAGAAUUAUGAAAGCUAUAAGCACUGUGAGAGAGCUUUGCGUCCCAUUAGCUAGUUGGAGAGGUACAGCUCACCAAGGCGAUGAUGGGUAGCCGGCCUGAGAGGGUGAACGGCCACAAGGGGACUGAGACACGGCCCUU